rfam:Culex pipiens quinquefasciatus supercont3.1468 genomic scaffold, whole genome shotgun sequence.
AGCUCCGUGGCUUAAUGGUUACGGCUUCUGCCUCACAAGCAGAAGGUUCAGGGAUCAAAUCCCGGUCGGUACCU